rnacentral:rRNA from 1 species
UACGAAGGGGGCUAGCGUUGCUCGGAAUCACUGGGCGUAAAGGGUGCGUAGGCGGGUUUUAAGUCAGAGGUGAAAUCCUGGAGCUCAACUCCAGAACUGCCUUUGAUACUGAAAGUCUUGAGUAUGGGAGAGGUGAGUGGAACUGCGAGUGUAGAGGUGAAAUUCGUAGAUAUUCGCAAGAACACCAGUGGCGAAGGCGGCUCACUGGCCCAGUUACUGACGCUGAGGCACGAAAGCGUGGGGAGCAAACAGG